GACGAACGCUGGCGGCGUGCCUAAUACAUGCAAGUCGAACGCUUCUUUUUCCACCGGAGCUUGCUCCACCGGAAAAAGAGGAGUGGCGAACGGGUGAGUAACACGUGGGUAACCUGCCCAUCAGAAGGGGAUAACACUUGGAAACAGGUGCUAAUACCGUAUAACAUGUAACGACAUGUUUGUAUUGUAAGGACGCUUCGGUUGGUCGCUGAUGGAGUGGACCCGGCCGGUGGCAUUAGUCUAGUUGGUUGGAGGUAAACGGCUCACCAAGGCGACGAUGCAUAGCCGACCUGAGAGGGU
rnacentral:rRNA from 1 species